UAGUGGUGGUAGUGGUGGUGAUGGUAUGUGAGAGGUGGGUGUGGCUUACAUGUCUAGUUAACAUAUGUAGCAGUGUUGUGUUGGCGGCGGCGGCGGAGCUGGUACUAGCAGGACAUUGUAAUCUUUUUUCGACUACUGCCACACCAACACACAUUACAUUUUACCUCACUUGCUUCUCAUCACAACAUUUUGUAUAUCUAUAUUUAUUUGUGUUCCUACAGAAGAAGAAGAAGAAGAAGAAGAAAGCGAUAGAUAUAUAUCUACAUAUAUGUGUGAUUUCUAUACAUUUUUAAGUCGAAGACAUUACCAUCUUCUAUAUUUUUGAGAUCGCUGUUAAAGUAAGCGAAGCCUCGCCACAGACGAAACUCAAGCACGUAAAUACACCAGAAAAAAUAUCAGUGGAAGCAUUUUUUACAUGAAAGAAGGGAAAAUAGUCAACAAAGAUAGCAGUCGAUUUCUUCCCCUCCCCCCACAAUUUUUUUUCAAUCUUCCUUUUUUCUUAAAGCACGUGGAUUGUCAUACUAAUUGGUUUGUGUGUAUUCAUUGAUUUUACCCUCUACGUCACACCUGUUAUUUAUUUACCUUAAUUCAUUCUCGCAUUUUAUAUCUCUAAAUGGUGUGAGAGAAAAUUGUUAAUUAGAAGAUAAAGAGAGAACAUUAUAUUUAUGGUUGUAUUAAUUGGUUUUUCGCUAUUGAGUCAACAAUCGGAGUUACAGGUGGAUUACAUGCACAGGAUUUGAUCUCCUUUCACCUGUUUUUGUUGUAAUUAGCUGGGAAGACGACAGUAAAACACGCAUUUUAACAAAAAAUAUUUUCAGUCUUUUUUUGCCAUUUCGAGUUCGCUGCUGACUUUUCUUUGUGCUGAAAUCUAAUAACCAUUCAAUGCAUUGCUUAACUUGACCCUUCAUAUUUUAUAAUGUGGCAUAAAAUCUGGGAUACGGCUGUAGGUUUCCACAAAAGAUACAUUAGGCCUGUUUGGAAUCGCGCACCGUAUUCGAAACUGAAAGAAAUCUGUGAUGAAAGUGAAGUAGAGAUGUCAACAACAGGCGUUUACUGUGCUAGUGUUACCGAUACCUCUAUCUCCAACGAACCCCCAAAUGUUAACAGGAUUGAAAACAAAACACCUAAUUCCUCUGUUUCCGCGAUGUCCAUGAGACAAGGGUUUGAUGAACCUGAUGCUGGCUUUCAUCGUUCGGACUUUCCGAUAGCAUAUCCAUCUUCCAUCACCCCCACAAAGAAUUCUACAAUUACGGAUAUUAAAAAUGCACUCUCUGCAAAGAGACCGUCUUACCAUCAUGUUCAAGAAGAAGCAGAUAAAAUCGAAGUGCUAGGUCAAGUCGGUUACCAAAGUGUAAACUUAGAAUGUACAGCAACUUCCGAACAUAAAGGAAGCUCCGACCAUAUCAAGCAAUGCCAGACAUCUCCAGAUGUCGAAGUCCCAAUCGAAGAAAUUACUCCGUCUUCCGCCAAAAUCGAUAAGAAAUUGAAGUCGCGUCGAAAAAGGUGUUUUAUUAGCUGACAUCAGAGAAAUGUUUCUGAACAUCACCAGUACAGAUUAAGAAAAAACUUGGGCAUGGUGCUCGUGUUUCUAUGCAAAUUCUAAAAGAAGCUUUCAUAAUUGGCUUUACACCUCCGGCUCCUUGUCUCUAUUUAACAGGACCCUAGACAAAGAUCCUACGGAAGAUAAAGCGAUGUUUCAUAAUGCUUUGGAAAUACUUUAAAGCAGGAAAGAUGUGUCCUUAUGCAUACCCCCCUGCGGUAGGAAUCUUCUCUGUGUAUCCACAAGAUCUAGAGCCGAGAUAUGUUCUUGGUUAAUGGUAAUGACACUGGAAAAAAAAAAUGUUAAAUUAUAUAUUUAACUUGAAAACAUUAGGGAGUUGAAUAUAUUUUAAGUUUUACUUUCUUUUAUACACCUUUUGUCUUCCCUAUAUUCUUCUUUCUCUCUUUCUCUUUCUCCCCCCAUUUCACAUGUGUAUGAAAGUCUGUAACACAACAGCUUAGCUCCUUGCCAAAUUUGCUCCACCCCCGGUUUUUUUUUUUUGUUUUUGUUUUUACAUAUGAGUUCCCUGUGUCUAGUCUUGCCCAAUAAAGUCUUAUGAUGACAACAAUAAACAAAUAAUUAUAUCCAGUCCAUUCCAAAACUAAAAUCCCAAGAUACUCCUGAACAAUAAUCCUAUUUAAAAAAUUUACACAUUCCAAAUGUUUUUGAUUUUUUUUUUGCAAAAAAAAAAAGAAGCAAAAUAAACUUAACUUCAUAUCUUUUUUAUUAAAGCAAACUAUAUACCAUAGUGAUAACGUUUGUCCUUCUUUGAAAUAUCUAUCUAUAACAGUAUCAGGCUUCUAAUAACUAUUAUUCAUCUUGUGUUCAUUUUUUAUGUUUUAAUCCCAGCCGUAUUCUUCUUUUGUCUGGUGCAACAGAAAAAAAAAAAA